rnacentral:rRNA from 1 species
AUUGAACGCUGGCGGCAGGCCUAACACAUGCAAGUCGAACGAGUGGCGGACGGGUGAGUAAUGUCUGGGAAACUGCCCGAUGUAGGGGGAUAACUACUGGAAACGGUAGCUAAUACCGCAUACCAUCGGAUGUGCCCAGAGGGGAUUAGCUAGUAGGUGGGGUGACGGCUCACCUGGGCCACGAUCCCUAGCUGGUCUGAGAGGAUGACCAGCCACACUGGAACUGAGACACGGUCCAGACUCCUACGGGAGGCAGCAGUGGGGAAUAUUGCACAAUGGGCUCAAGCCUGAUGCAGCCAUUCCGCGUGUAUGAAGAAGGCCUUCGGGUUGUAAAGUACUUUCAGCGAGGAGGCGUUACUCGCAGAAGAAGCAACGGCUAAAACCGUGCCAGCAGCCGCGGUAAUAC